rnacentral:other from 1 species
CAUACCCUGCUGUGUGCGUGUAAUGUCUAUAUGUUUUGAGCCAACACAUUUACUGCGGGAGCUUGGCUCUGGUUACAGCAUGUAUGCCCUUGUUCGUUGGGGGACACAUAAAAUAAUCAGGAGAGCACCCACCUGCCGCGGGCAGGUUCAAAACAGAGACAGUACGGCAUAGUGGGGAUUGG